rnacentral:lncRNA from 1 species
CCCUUAAUCCUGCCAGAGUGUUUGAUGUAUAGGAACAGAGUACAAUGUCGCUCCUGGAGCUGUGUUGGGAGGAGGAAGAGGGGAGCAGCCGACUCGUCUCUACCUCUCUCUGUGUGUGGUUGGUGAAUGUGUGGUGUUGAAUGACCGGUGAAUGAUCGGCCCCUUGCAUGGAGGGCGACCGUGGGGGUUUAUAGACGAACCCGCCGGCCUACAAUAUGGAUAAAGGGUACAAGUGUGGGACCCGGCUGGCAGCUUCGCCGGCUGGCCAGGGGCCCACAAGGGUCUUGUCUUGUCGAUGGGGGGCCCGCCGGCUGCAUGGUCUCGAUUGCCUGUGGGACCCACCGGCUGGCCAAUGAGGCUCUUGCGUAAGGUUGACGCUGAGCACGCGAUGUACGUCAAGCGUCGCCUCGCGAGAUUCUUCAUGGGCGGGUAGUAUGACCGCUUCCACUGUUCCCCACGCCGAGUGCAGUAAUGGAGUGGGAGUGUGACGGUCCGACACUAUGCUAGGUGAUGGAUCAGAGCGGGGGUAGGUCAGCGGCAUGGCCGCCGACGCUCGUACCUGCCGGGCGCCCUGAUCCAGUACCUUUGCUGACGCGUAGCUACCUUUAAUCGUGAGGUCUCUUCCUGACCUACGAUCUGAUGUGACUUGUGAUCCUCGGCUGGCUAGCCUGCUUGGCCAGCCGGCUUAAG